GCUAUGAUGACUCUGAUUUUCAUUGAUUUAAGCUGAAAAUAAAUCAGUUAUACCUCUAAGAAGUUCUGAGCUU